AAAGAAGAGGACUGGGCUCAAAUGACUGGUGCCAUCCCCAGAAACCUCCCGGGCAGAACUGUCAUAGCGCGUGUACCACCCUGGGGUCACCACCCUUCUAUCUAAAGGUUCCGAAUGGGAAAAGUCCUAGGGAGAGUAAGUCGGUUAGUGGUUGACUGAGAAGAAAGGAGAGGACUGCAAGAAAGGAUCGGUGACUACAAGCAGAUGCAUACCUAAAGCACCAGCUAUGCUAGAGGAUGAAGCAGAAGAAUCACUUGAACCCAAGAACAUCAAGGGCAGCCAGGGCAAGCCUGUGAGAUCCCAGCUCACACAGAAUCAGAGAGAGGUCGUGUUUGUUGUGCUUUUGCUUUUGCUCAAACAUGCGAAAGUUUUCUUUGAAUUUUGCUGCCAGUUUUCAGAAAGAGGUGUCAAAAUAAGGAAAGCUGUCCUUUCUGCAAAAGCUACCACAGUCCCUCUGGGUGUUCUAAACUAUUGAUAGAGGAAAAGAACAAACUCUUACAAGGGGAGCUGGAGCUAAGAUUUCUAUCACACAGGUGAGACAACACUGCCUCUCCACCCUGGCUGUCUACAAGAACCAUCCCAGUAACUUGAAGAGUCAGUGGUGACUCUGCCCUUCAGAUCAAGUCAAUAAUCUGAGGCAGGAUGUGCGGAUGAGAA